GCACCGUACUAAGAAUCGCAUUCGCAGUACACGUACUGGGAGACUCGCUCUCCUUCUCUUCACUGUGGGGAAAGUCCCCGGAGACGCAGAGCAUGACCUGUAGCCCUUAGGGAAAGCAACCGUUUCUAAACUGACGGUAUAGCUACCUGGUUGGGAAUGGAUACUUUGCGCCACCUUUCUGAAAGGAACUGCUCGCCAUUCGUUCACUCUGCGGUGUGCAUCACUCUAUCAUUCUCUUGCAGAAAGUCUCUUCAUAGCGAAGAUAUGAGCUCGAGGAGACCGGAGGAUGCUAGAUGAUGCCGUACCAGCCUGUUGCUCAUAGUCGAAAGUUAUGCGAUUGCAGAUUGUCUGCUUGCAGCAGUCUGUAACACAAUGGGGCUCACUCUUGUACGGUG
rfam:Sistotremastrum niveocremeum HHB9708 unplaced genomic scaffold SISNIscaffold_35, whole genome shotgun sequence.